UGUCGCAGUUUUGAAACAGAGUGACUUGAAUUGGUAUAUAUAGACUUAGUGUCUGCCAAUAUCUUUCCGAAUUUACAUUUGUGUGCAUAUUACUGUGUUUCCUAGCCUUAUCUUGUUUUCUGUUCGGUAACGAUAUACGUUAUAAAUUUAUAGAUUUUUUGCGUUUCCAGAUUCUAGUAGGAGCAUGGCUUUUAGGCUGCCUGCUGCUAAGGUCAGCGUAUAUGUGCUCCCUCAUUUCUCAUCUUGUGGUGCAAGGAAAAUCAACGACAAUAGAUAGCUUCGAGGACUUGGUUGAUCUUCAUCGAGCUGAAGGAUGGGAAUGGGGAACCGAAAUAUUCGAAGGAGCAUUCGAUACUUUUCUCACUAUAAGCCAUAAUCAAAACAAUCACAUAAUUAAGAAAUACAUGCAGACUAUGUCAACUGAGGAAGGACUGAAGAGAGUGCUACAAGGUGGCUUUUCCUAUUUACGCAACUAUUACAUAACAAAGAUAAUUACAAAGACCUUCAGUGAGGGGGGGAAAACGGACGGUGAUCCUUUCUACAUUAGUUCUACCAGAUAUCCACUCUUUCUAGGGAACUCCUGGGCUUUCAGACGCUCUGCACCUUUCCUUCGUCGCUUCGAACUGGCUAUUCAGCAGCUCCUUGAUGCGGGGUUGGUUUACUAUUGGAUGGAUGACGUUAUUAACACACACCUCUGGAAGACUCGACAAGAGAGGAAUGCCAUUGCAUCAAUGAAGAUGCGGUCCAUUGUUCAAUCAGAAGGUGGAGAAAGGCUGGUGCUGGGGUUUCGUCACCUGCAAGUUACUUUCUACACUCUGGUAUUUGGCUCUGCGAUAGCAUCUGUUGUCUUCCUCCUUGAACGUAUAUUUCGUUAAUGCGGGCAGCUCUUCUUGAAUCUAACUGAGUAAAUUCAUAACAAGAUAAUUCACACACACACACACACACACACACACACACACACACACACACACACACACACACAAAGUAUCUGAGCUAUAUUGUUAAAUAAUAUUAAUAAGGGGCGGUUGUAAGUGGUCGACCUGAAGAUUUUUUUCUUUUUUUUUUGGCUUAUAUUAUUCUGUCAUUCUUUCAGUUUCUUUUGGUAUAUGUAAAAAUCUGAUGAAAAAAUAAUAAUAAGUGGUAUGCAAUAUGCAAAGCAAUGCAAUGCAACGUCCUGCUAUGAGUUUCCGCGGAGUUACUGGCUGCAAUAGAUGUUUUCAUCUAGUUUUUAUUAAAGGUAUUUAUUUUCUUUGUCUGUCAUACAACUUUAACGUUCUCUCGCACUACUACAUAAGAAAACGGAAAAUUUAUAGCACUCACUAAUAUUUUUUCGUAUUUAU